rnacentral:rRNA from 1 species
UGGCGGCGUGCUUAACACAUGCAAGUCGAGCGAUGAAGUUUCUUCGGAAAUGGAUUAGCGGCGAACGGGUGAGGAACACGUGAAGAAUCUGCCCUCCACUUUGGGAUAACACCGGGAAACCGGUGCUAAUACCGAAUAUUGAAACAUAAGUGGCAUCACUGAGUUUUGAAAGAAUUUCGGUGGAGGAUGACUUCGCGGCCUAUCAGCUAGUUGGUGAGGUAAUGGCUCACCAAGGCAACGACGGGUAGCCGGCCUGAGAGGGCGACCGGCCACACUGGGACUGAGACACGGCCCAGACUCCUACGGGAGGCAGCAGUGGGGAAUAUUGGGCAAUGGAGGAAACUCUGACCCAGCGACGCCGCGUGCGGGAUGAAGGCCUUCGGGUUGUAAACCGCUUUCGGUAGGGAAGAAGCGAAAGUGACGGUACCUACAAAAGAAGCACCGGCUAACUAUGUGCCAGCAGCCGCGGUAAUACAUAGGGUGCAAGCGUUGUCCGGAAUUAUUGGGCGUAAAGAGCUCGUAGGUCGUUUGUUACGUCGGAUGUGAAAACCUGAGGCUCAACCUCAGGCCUGCAUUCGAUACGGGCAAACUAGAGUUUGGUAGGGGAGACUGGAAUUCCUGGUGUAGCGGUGGAAUGCGCAGAUAUCAGGAGGAACACCAAUGGCGAAGGCAGGUCUCUGGGCCAAUACUGACACUGAGGAGCGAAAGUCUGGGGAGCAAACAGGAUUAGAUACCCUGGUAGUCCAGACCGUAAACGGUGGGCACUAGUUGUGGGAACCUUCCACGGUUUCUGCGACGCAGCUAACGCAUUAAGGGCCCCGCCCGGGGAGUACCAUCGCAA